rnacentral:rRNA from 1 species
GCGCCAGGGAAUUACGAGCGCAAGCUUAAAACCCAAAGGAUUUGACGGUGUCCCACCCACCUAGAGGAGCCUGUUCUAUAAUCGAUGAUCCUCGAUACACCUUACCAUUUUUUGCUUUCAGCCUGUAUACCUCCGUCGCAAAUUUACCAUAUGAAUGCCGUAAAGUAAGUUCAAUUGCCCUUACGCCAAUACGUCAGGUCAAGGUGCAGCCUAUAAAAUGGAAAGUAAUGGGCUACAAUUUCUAAUAUAGAACAAACGAAAAACUACAUGAAACAUAGUCAUGAAGGUGGAUUUAGUAGUAAAAGAAGAAUAGAGAGCUUCUUUAAACAAGGCCCUGGGACGUGUACACACCGCCCGUCAC